GAUAAACGCUGGCGGCGCACAUAAGACAUGCAAGUCGAACGGAAGUCGUUAUAAUCGAAGCAGAUAUGAACAGAGAACUUGUUCGAAGGAAAUUGAAGUAGACUUUAUAACAAUGGCUUUAGUGGCGGACUGGUGAGUAACGCGUGAGCAACCUGCCUAUCAGAGGGGAAUAACAGUGAGAAAUCAUUGCUAAUACCGCAUAUGCUUGUAGUAACACAUGUUAUAGCAAGGAAAGGAGUAAUCCGCUGAUAGAUGGGCUCGCGUCUGAUUAGAUAGUUGGUGGGGUAACGGCCUACCAAGUCGACGAUCAGUAGCCGGACUGAGAGGUUGAACGGCCACAUUGGGACUGAGAUACGGCCCAGACUCC
rnacentral:rRNA from 1 species